UACGGAGGGUGCAAGCGUUAUCCGGAUUCACUGGGUUAAAGGGUGCGUAGGCGGGUAUGUAAGUCAGUGGUGAAUCUCGAAGCUUAACUUCGAAACUGCCAUUGAUACUAUAUAUCUUGAAUAUUGUGGAGGUUUGCGGAAUAUGUCAUGUAGCGGUGAAAUGCUUAGAUAUGACAUAGAACACCUAUUGCGAAGGCAGCAGGCUACACAUAUAUUGACGCUGAGGCACGAAAGCGUGGGGAUCAAACAGG
rnacentral:rRNA from 1 species